rnacentral:piRNA from 1 species
CUCACAUUAUGGUUUCCUAGUUAA